rnacentral:rRNA from 1 species
AGCAGCAGCCGCGGUAACACGUAGGUGGCGAGCGUUGUCCGGAAUUAUUGGGCGUAAAGGGAGCGCAGGCGGGCGAGUAAGUCUUUCUUAAAAGUGCGGGGCUCAACCCCGUGAGGGGAGAGAAACUACUCAUCUUGAGUGCAGGAGAGGAAAGCGGAAUUCCUAGUGUAGCGGUGAAAUGCGUAGAUAUUAGGAAGAACACCAGUGGCGAAGGCGGCUUUCUGGACUGUAACUGACGCUGAGGCUCGAAAGCCAGGGGAGCGAACGGGAUUAGAGACCCGCGUAGUCCCUGUCUCUUAUACA